rnacentral:rRNA from 1 species
GACGAACGCUGGCGGCGUGCUUAACACAUGCAAGUCGAACGGAAAGGCCCUGCUUUUGUGGGGUGCUCGAGUGGCGAACGGGGGAGUAAAACGUGAGUAACCUGCCCUUGACUUUGGGAUAACUUCAGGAAACUGGGGCUAAUACCGGAUAGGAGCUCCUGCUGCAUGGUGGGGGUUGGAAAGUUUCGGCUGUUGGGGAUGGACUCGCAGCUUAUCCGCUUGAUGGUGGGGUAGUUGCUUUCCAAGGCUAUGACGGGUAGCCGGCCUGAGAGGGUGAACAGCCACAUUGGGACUGCGAUACGGACCAGACUCCUACGUGAGGCAGCAGUGGGGAAUAUUGCAGAAUGGGCGGAAGCCAGUGGCAGCAACGCCGCGUGCGUGAUGACGGCCUUCGGGGGGUAAACCGCUUUCGACUGUGACAAAGAGUGAGUGACGGUAAUUGGUCAAGAAGCACCGGCUAACUACGUG